GAAGGUAUAGCUCAGUGGUAGUGUGUACUUAGCAUGCAUGAGUUCCUGGGUUCAAUCCCCAGUGCCUCCA
rnacentral:tRNA from 1 species